rnacentral:misc_RNA from 1 species
CAGAGUUAUCCAACUCCCAAACCCAUGUGGACUUAUCUCUUUGUUGCCUCGGCGCAAGCUACCCGGGACCUCGCGCCCCGGGCGGCCCGCCGGCGGACAAACCAAAACUCUUGUUAUCUUAGUUGAUUAUCUGAGUGUCUUAUUUAAUAAGUCA